AUUGAACGCUGGCGGAAUGCUUUAUACAUGCAAGUCGAACGGCAGCACGGGGGCAACCCUGGUGGCGAGUGGCGAACAGGUGAGUAGUACAUCGGAACGUGCCCAGUCGUGGGGGAUAACGUAGCGAAAAUUACGCUAAUACCGCAUACGAUCUACGGAUGAAAGCGGGGGACCGUAAGGCCUCGCGCGAUUGGAGCGGCCGAUGUCAGAUUAGGUAGUUGGUGAGGUAAAGGCUCACCAAGCCGACGAUCUGUAGCUGGUCUGAGAGGACGACCAGCCACACUGGGACUGAGACACGGUCCAGACUCCUACGGGAGGCAGCAGUGGGGAAUUUUGGACAAUGGACGCAAGUCUGAUCCAGCCAUUCCGCGUGCAGGAUGAAGGCCCUCGGGUUGUAAACUGCUUUUGUACGGAACGAAAAGGUCUCUCUUAAUACGGGGGACUCAUGACGGUACCGUAAGAAUAAGCACCGGCUAACUACGUGCCAGCCGCCGCGGUAA
rnacentral:rRNA from 1 species